AUUGCCUUAUAAAUCAAAAGAUGACUGCAGGUUUCUCUUACAUAUCCAAAUCUAGGAAUAAGUUCAUUCCACAGCAGAUUUGAAAAAACAAAAAUAUAAUGUAGGAAGUAAUAUCAUUCAUGGCAAACCAACAGCAUGAAAUUUGGUAGGCUUAUUUAGGAUGAAAAGGAAUAAUCUAGAUUGUUUUAAUACCCUAUAAGAGUCCAUGUUAAGUCAUCCUGACAAAAAAUCUUUUUAAAAAUAUGGUAACCAUAAAUAAAGUUGCUCAAAGGCACCACACACACACGCACACACACGGUUCUCUAAUGAAAUACCAGUUGAAGUGCAGCAUUUUCAUUACAGAUAGUCACACAGCUAGAGCUAUACAAUACACACAGAUUUCUCCUAAGAGUACCAGCAAUCUUAGUUAUAAAAUAAUACUUUUCAGUAGUCUUUCUUGAUGCACAUUUAAAAACCAGCACAACUCCUCUAGUGAAAUGGUCGAUUUCCCUUAAAAAACAACAUCUGAAAUUAUAAGACCUGACAAAUCAUAUUAUAUUUCAAUAUUAGACAGCUGUGGCUCUAGAACAACAGAAAAGCGUAACUUUCAAACAGCUUAGGGAAAAAGCACUGAAAUGUAGAUGUCGUCAAUCAGCCUCAGGCAUUACUGAUCCUGUGCCAUCCACACACCCUUAAGGUUUUUCACAGCACUCUGACGGUAUUAUGUCUGCUUUGCAAAUGACAAAUCAACAGUAUGCUGAAUAAUCAGCAAUGAAACACAGGAGAUAAAUUAAAUGUGUUUUUCCAAAUGUCGGAAUAUCGAGGUUCCCAGGAGUUGGCAAAACUUCUCAAGUGGCCAUCCAGACUCAGGCUGUGCAGGAUAAGGCUUCCUUACGUAGUGAACGGUUGAGAAUAUUUGCUCCCCACACCCAGAGCCAUUCAGGCAUAUACUGUGCAAAAAGAAACUAAAAAUGAAAGAGAAAAAGGUUGUAAGGUUAGAACCCAAAAUCAACACUGAAGGAACAAGUACACAGACCAGCACAUGAAACCCACCAAUCACAACAAAUACCCACCAAUCAAUCACAACAAAUACCCACCAAUCACAACAAAUACCCACCAAUCAAUCACAACAAAUACCCACCAAUCACAAUACCCACCAAUCAAACAAAUACCCACCAAUCACAAUAAAUACCCACCAAUCAAUCACAAUAAAUACCCACCGAUCAAUCACGACAAAUACCCACCAAUCACAACAAAUACCCACCAAUCAAUCACAAUAAAUACCCACCGAUCAAUCACAACAAAUACCCACCAGUCACAACAAAUACCCACCAAUCACAACAAAUACCCACCAAUCAAUCACAAUAAAUACCCACCGAUCGAUCCCAACAAAUACCCACCAAUCACAAUAAAUACCCACCAAUCAAUCACAACAAAUACCCACCAGUCACAACAAAUACCCACCAGUCACAACAAAUACCCACCAAUCACAACAAAUACCCACCAAUCAAUCACAAUAAAUACCCACCGAUCGAUCCCAACAAAUACCCACCAAUCACAAUAAAUACCCACCAAUCAAUCACAACAAAUACCCACCAAUCAAUCACAACAAAUACCCACCAGUCACAACAAAUACCCACCAAUCACAUUAAAUACAACAAAGGAAAAAGCCUGCAGGCACGACUGUAUUGAAUACCUAUUUUUGCCUAAGAUCUUACCCUAGAUUCUACAUGGAAUAGAAACAUGACCACCACCCACCUACCCUACUUUCUGUAAUGAGGCUGGACUGUCCUGCAUGUAAAUACAAUUCUGUCUUUACUUAACAUGAUAUGAACAAAAUUUUCACUGGUUAAGAACCACAAAAUCAGCUGGGC
rnacentral:lncRNA from 1 species